UGUGUGUGUGUGUGUGUGUGUGUGUGUGUGUCGUGCCUGCCGUUCAUCGCUCUCAUCAUUUAUAAACAACAUUCCCCAUGUCUGACAUCAUCUGGCAACUAACCUUACACACACACACGCACGCACACGCACGCACACACA
rnacentral:pre_miRNA from 14 species